UACAGAGGUCCCAAGCGUUGUUCGGAUUCACUGGGCGUAAAGGGUGCGUAGGCGGUCGGGUAAGUCUGAUGUGAAAUCUCACAGCUUAACUGUGAAACUGCAUUCGAUACUGCCGUGCUUGAGGACUGGAGAGGAGACUGGAAUUUACGGUGUAGCGGUGAAAUGCGUAGAUAUCGUAAGGAAGACCAGUGGCGAAGGCGGGUCUCUGGACAGUUCCUGACGCUGAGGCACGAAGGUCAGGGGAGCAAACGGG
rnacentral:rRNA from 1 species